rnacentral:rRNA from 1 species
UACGUAGGGGGCAAGCGUUGUCCGGAAUCAUUGGGCGUAAAGAGCGCGUAGGCGGCCCAGUAAGUCCGCUCUGAAAGUCAGGGGCUCAACCCCUGAAUGCGGGUGGAUACUGCUGGGCUAGAGUCCGGAAGAGGUGAGUGGAAUUCCCGGUGUAGCGGUGAAAUGCGCAGAUAUCGGGAAGAACACCCGUGGCGAAGGCGGUUCUCUGGGACGGUACUGACGCUGAGACGCGAAAGCGUGGGGAGCGAACAGG